rnacentral:rRNA from 1 species
CAGUAGCCGCGGGAAUACAGAGGGUGCAAGCGUUAAUCGGAAUUACUGGGCGUAAAGCGCGCGUAGGUGGUUUGUUAAGUUGGAUGUGAAAGCCCCGGGCUCAACCUGGGAACUGCAUCCAAAACUGGCAAGCUAGAGUACGGUAGAGGGUGGUGGAAUUUCCUGUGUAGCGGUGAAAUGCGUAGAUAUAGGAAGUAACACCAGUGGCGAAGGCGACCACCUGGACUGAUACUGACACUGAGGUGCGAAAGCGUGGGGAGCAAACAGGAUUAGAUACCCGUGUAGUCCCUGUCUCUUAUAC